CCUACGGGAGGCAGCAGUAGGGAAUAUUGCACAAUGGGCGCAAGCCUGAUGCAGCAACGCCGCGUGAGGGACGACGGCCUUCGGGUUGUAAACCUCUUUUAGUAGGCAAGAAGCGAAAGUGACGGUACCUGCAGAAAAAGCWCCGGCUAACUACGUGCCAGCAGC
rnacentral:rRNA from 1 species